UUAAGUUCAGCGGGUAGUCCUACCUGAUUUGAGGUCAGAGUCCAAAAGAGCGCCACAAGGGGCAGUUAUGAGCGGGCCUUCACACCAUGCCAGGCGAAACUUAUCACGUCAGGCCGUGGAUGCUGAUCCCACUAAGUCAUUUGAGGCAAGCCGACAAACGGCAGACACCCAGGUCCAAGUCCACCCCAGAUCAAGAGACC
rnacentral:misc_RNA from 1 species